GCAUACGACGAUGCAAAAGAGGGCAAAUGACCUAGAAGGACAGUUGAGCGAUUUUGCCUUGAGCUUUUCGUCUUCUCCAGGUGGUGUGGUUUCAGUGUGGCUGUUUCGGUUGGUGUGGUGCGAAGGCUAUAGUGGUGAAGCGAAUGAGACAGAUUUACAGUGAACAUUACCGUCCUGUUUGUUAGGUGGACUGAUUGAAGUUUUAUGACGUGUAGUAUGACAGAAUGCGCAUGACUUAUAGGUUCCUAUGUGCCAUAUUGAAGGAACUGCAUGAGGGAUGCCGUGGGGCCAUCAGAGAUUUGAAUGGCGGCCGAUAUGACAACAUCGUGCGCUGGUGCGGCAAGCGUCUGGUCCUGCUGCACCAAGCACGUCAGAGGAUAUUGCUGUCCAGGAGGAGCCUGCAGGACUACCUCCUUCACUAUCCAUGCCGAUGCGUGCCACUAUAUAGAGCCGAGCUAGAGCCUGCAGGCACAAUCACUGCGACUAUUGCGGAUAUCUCAAGUAGUCAGACGGACAUGGGCGAGUUCAUCCCGUCACUCACUGACUUGUCGAUCGACCCUCCUGUAGCUGUGACAACCGAGAUUUCUGGAGAAAUCAGUGGCCUUCUCUGUUGCAACAAAGAUCAGCGACGUGAUGCUGUGCUUGACAGUGCAUCCACUAUACCCGUAGGGGUUGUGUCUGUUGCAAUGAAGGGUAACCCGAAGCAACACACGAAUACUGCUCGGAGGAAAAGGUCGUAGAAGGCCGAGAAAGCGUAGAGUCGUCAAGCGGAUGUCGCCAGACGUCUUUGUCUAAUACUUCAAUACACCGCCUGCCGUUGUAAUAAUUAA